rnacentral:misc_RNA from 1 species
AACGCACCUUGCACUCUUUGGUAUUCCGAAGAGUAUGUCUGUUUGAGUGUCAUGAAAUUCUCAACCCCCCUGUUUUGUAACGAGACGGGCGUGGGCUUGGAUUAUGGCUGUCUGUCGGCGUCAAGCCGGCUCAGCUGAAAUACACGAGCAACCCAUUUGAAAUAGACGGUUUGACUUGGCGUAAUAAUUAUUUCGCUGAGGACGUCUUCUUUAAAGUCAGUGGUGCUUCUAAUGCGUACUAUACAUCAUAAGCUUUAGACCUCAAAUCAGUCAGGACUACCCGCUGAACUUAA